GACGAACGCUGGCGGCGCGCCUAACACAUGCAAGUCGAACGAGCGAGAGAGAGCUUGCUUUCUUGAGCGAGUGGCGAACGGGUGAGUAACGCGUGAGGAACCUGCCUCAAAGAGGGGGACAACAGUUGGAAACGACUGCUAAUACCGCAUAAGCCCACGACCCGGCAUCGGGUUGAGGGAAAAGGAGCAAUCCGCUUUGAGAUGGCCUCGCGUCCGAUUAGCUAGUUGGUGAGGUAACGGCCCACCAAGGCGACGAUCGGUAGCCGGACUGAGAGGUUGAAGGGGUCUAUUGAGCAGGAGGAGCGGACAGGAUGGCGGGCGGAGGAAGGAGGGAGGAGUACGGUAAGAGGGGAGAAGGCCUGAGGCGGGGACGGGGGGGGGAGGAAGAAGGGAGUGGGGUUGUAACUUCGUGUGGUGGGGGAAGAAAAAGGGGUAACCAAAGAAGUCGGUGGCGGCUAACUACGUGAGAGGCACCAGGUUAAUCGCGGGGGGCCGGUGGCAGAAC
rnacentral:rRNA from 1 species